ACCCUUUUUAUUUUUCAUUUUAAGGCAGAGUCUUGCUAAUUUGCCUAGGGACUCACUAAAUUGCCAAGGUUGGCCUCAAACUUAUGAUCCUCCUGCUUCAAGCCUUCCAAGUUUCUGGGAUUACAGACUUGUUUCCAUUCUCAUGACUGAAUGGGCAACCCUGUAAUUUGUCGGCUACAUCCAUUUUUUUCCACCUCCUGGCAACAGUUUCGCUUCAGUUUCUGCCAAGAUUCCCUAUUGUCUCCAUAAGUUUCUGCCCAAGUCCGUAUGUCACAUCAUCUGGAAAAUCAAUUCUGCGGCGUUACUCUCCCCAACUAUGACACUGGAAAAUGGCAACAACCAUGAAACGGAUCCCUCCUUGGAAUCACAUCUGAAAACAAGAAAUUUCAAGUUACUCAGGAGUAAACUUCCAGUGAUAAAGUAAAUUAUGUGGAAGCUGAAGCCCAGAAGGCCUGACUGACUCACAGACCUCAUAGUCACCUGAGAAUUGACAACCUGGAACUUUUGGAUGAGAUCAUAGGAAUUACCUAAUCUGAAGUGCCAUCUCCUUAAGCCUAUAUCUGAAAGAGCAGCCACUGCAUACUGAACCUGCAAAUCUAAGAGGACACCAGGGAUCUAGAAGUUUGGGUUGGUAAUACUAUGUCGUCAUGAAUUCCAGGAAGUAAACUACAUGUGUUUGAA